GGACGCCUGGGAAGCGGAUUGGGAACCUGUGGGUCUACUAGGAAAGUCAAGGGUGCGCACUUCAGAUGCUGCGCUGCUGUCACAGGUGUCCAUCACCACGUGUGACACUAGUGACGUUGUCCUGACCUCACAGGAUCCCAGCCUGAUGAUACGUGAAGGGUUUUCCAAGGUCGUCUACUUCUUUUUUUGAAAACGUUAAAGACAUUGGGCCUGAAAGUUUCAGUGACUUGUCCAGGGAAACCCAGUUUGUUUGUGACAGAGUCAGAAGGAACACAGUGCUGUUCACUUUCUCACAGCUGAACCACAGUUCUCUACACUCUUCCAGGAGCCAUAGGAAAUGAACAUCCCUCAGGAGUGGGCUUGCUGGGUCUUCGCGGAAGUGUAUAUAUAACUGUAGAAGAAACUGCCAAAUGUUUCCAAGUUGGCUCUACUAUUUUUCCUGCCCAUAAGCAAUGUCUGAGAGUCCUCAUUGCUCGUUGGUUACCAACAUUUGGUUUGGAUGGUGCUGGUGUGCACAGGGAGCAGCCGUGUUGAUUUCCACAUUUGCUGAGGCAUCUGAGUCUGAGCUGCUGAUCACGGUGCUGACGUUAAUAAAAGAUAUUAUUGUUGCCACUUCAUAGAUGGAAAACUGGAAGCAAAGCCAUUAAGUGCUUCAGCCAAGGUCUAAGAAGAAGUCACCAAGAAGACAGUCUGGCUCAAGUCUCCUGACUCCAGUUUAAUAUUCCCCACAACAAUGUUGGAAAACCACAUUGGAAAGGGAAGAUUCCUUCCUAGUAAUGCUGUCACACUACCAAGCUUCAAAGAAGCAAUGGAAACAGGAUCCAGAAGCCUGAAGUGAGACAUCUGGCCAACUGGCCUGUGCUGACACCAUUAAGCCAAACAGACCUCUCAGACAGCCUCUCAGGCCCCACCCCUGGGUGUGGCCCAGCCCCCAGGGCACACUGGGUGGGGCCUCCUCUUAGAAAUCCCUCCCAUUGCUUGUAUGUUCCUCCAGAGGACUCUGAGCUCAGCUGGAUGUGCCUGGCUGUGAUGAGGCAACCAUGGUUUCGGUCCUCUGGGAAGUUUUUGUGAUGAACAGUUCCCAUCUGAUGGCUUCUGAUUCCCCUGUGAUGGUCCAGCACAUGUGCUCAACGAGUGUGGAAUGUGGAGAAGUUGUAGGAAAGUGGAAUCGUUCUGAGAACUUGGGCAAGAGAGUUCACUGAGAAAACAAUCACAAAAGCUCCGCUGAGGCGGGGGCUCUGUUUGCUGCCUUCACUGGGUGUCCCGAGUGCUUAGAAGAGCUCCUCGUUCAUGGUAACACAGGAGGAAUGACCAGAUUCUCAGGCAACGUGGGAGUUGAGCAGUAGCUGUAGAAGAGAAAUUUAUGGAGACGCCAACAUACUUAAUCGUGUCAUUUUAUCCAAGAGGAAUCAUCCCCUUAUUCAAGGCAGGUCUGAAAAAGGCAGAGUUGGAUUUUGCCAGGUGGGUCAGAUGAAAGGAGAGUGAGGUAAACUGUUUACAGCAGAGCUAUGUAGGUUUGGGGUUAAUGAUGGACCAUGAAGUUUUCCUUGGAGAGGGAGGAAAUGGAGACAGAAGGUUGUCAGAUGGACAAGGAGAAGUAUAAAGUGGCUUAUAGUUCCUGAAUAGGUUGAGGAAUUGGCAUGCGGAGGGCAGAAGCUGAGAGGAUAAAGGGUGGAAUGUCAGUCUUUUUUCAGAAUGCACAAGCGUUCCUGGUGAUAUGUUCUAGGAUAUGGCCAUAACUGACCUGGAAUGGAGGUAAAGGGCUCUAAGAUGAGGAGGGGUAUUCAGUGAGAGGCCAGAUUAUUGGCUAGUCUGUCCACAUGGGUGUAUGGGACUCUGACUGGUUCCUCUGACUUCAAGGUCCUCUCCUGGGCCUCUUUCCUGUCCCAAGGUCUCCACAGAAUUGGCAUUUCCAGCAACUCUAAGCUUCAGUCUGUGGUAUGACUCUGAACAAAAGGGCAGAAAUGGGGCAGUGAGAGAGAGGGCUGUAGUAGACAUCUGUUUUGUUUUUAGUUUUGAUUUUGUUUUGGCACCUGGCAUUCACUCACCUUCCGUACAAUAGUCUUUCUAUUGCCCUCUGGGGAACUAACCCCAUUCUCAGUCCAAGAGCAAGUGGAGUUGUCUGUCCUGACACUCUUACUAUCACGAUGGGUAUAUAACUCAGGCUUGGCCAAAAAGAUCGGUCCAUGCUUUUUGGCUACAGUGAUUGGUCAGGGAUGGGCAUGUGACCCAGCUGGAGACAGUAAGGCACAGUGGGACGUUUGAAGGGACUAGUGGGA